CUAUACAUGCAAGUCGAGCGAGCCGAACUAAUUGAUUACCUUCGGGUAUGAAGUUAGGGAAGCGAGCGGCGGAUGGGUGAGUAACACGUGGGUAACCUACCCUAUAGUCUGGGAUACCACUUGGAAACAGGUGCUAAUACCGGAUAAAAGGAGAGAUCACAUGAUUUCUUUUUGAAAGGCGGCGUAAGCUGUCGCUAAAGGAUGGACCCGCGGUGCAUUAGCUAGUUGGUAAGGUAACGGCUUACCAAGGCAACGAUGCAUAGCCGAGUUGAGAGACUGAUCGGCCACAUUGGGACUGAGACACGGCCCAAACUCCUACGGGAGGCAGCAGUAGGGAAUCUUCCACAAUGGACGCAAGUCUGAUGGAGCAACGCCGCGUGAGUGAAGAAGGUUUUCGGAUCGUAAAGCUCUGUUGUUGGUGAAGAAAGAUAGUGAGAGUAACUGCUCAUUAUUUGCCGGUAAUCAACCAGAAAGUCACGGCUAACUACGUGCCAGCAGCCGCGGUAAUACGUAGGUGGCAAGCGUUGUCCGGAUUUAUUGGGCGUAAAGCGAGCGCAGGCGGAAAGAUAAGUCAGAUGUGAAAGCCCUCGGCUUAACCGAGGAAUAGCAUCGGAAACUGUCUUUCUUGAGUGCAGAAGAGGAGAGUGGAACUCCAUGUGUAGCGGUGGAAUGCGUAGAUAUAUGGAAGAACACCAGUGGCGAAGGUGGCUCUCUGGUCUGUAACUGACGCUGAGGCUCGA
rnacentral:rRNA from 1 species